UUAAGUUCAGCGGGUAGUCCUACCUGAUUUGAGGUCAAGUUUGUCAAGUUAUUUUCGUCGUUGUAAGCAGCGCAAUCUGUUCAUGCAGCAUACCAAAGGCAUAGAUAAUUUAUCACACCUAUAGUAGCAGCUCAGAUGCCACUAAUGCAUUUAAGGGGAGCUGACCAUCCGUAAAGAAGCCAGCAAAAUAGACCCCCAUA
rnacentral:misc_RNA from 1 species